rnacentral:rRNA from 1 species
GACGAACGCUGGCGGCGUGCUUAACACAUGCAAGUCGAACGAAAAGAGGGAAAGAGCUUGCUCUUUCCGGAAUUGAGUGGCAAACGGGUGAGUAACACGUAAACAACCUGCCUUCAGGAUGGGGACAACAGACGGAAACGACUGCUAAUACCGAAUAAGUUCCAAGAGCCGCAUGGCCCAUGGAAGAAAAGGUGGCCUCUACCUGUAAGCUAUCGCCUGAAGAGGGGUUUGCGUCUGAUUAGCUGGUUGGAGGGGUAACGGCCCACCAAGGCGACGAUCAGUAGCCGGUCUGAGAGGACGAUCCGCCACACUGGGACUGAGACACGGCCCAGACUCCUACGGGAGGCAGCAGUGGGGAAUUUUGGACAAUGGGGGCAACCCUGAUCCAGCCAUGCCGCGUGUAUGAAGAAGGCCUUCGGGUUGUAAAGUACUUUUGUUAGGGAAGAAAAGGGAAGUGCUAAUACCACUUUUUGCUGACGGUACCUAAAGAAUAAGCACCGGCUAACUACGUGCCAGCAGCCGCGGUAAUACGUAGGGUGCGAGCGUUAAUCGGAAUUACUGGGCGUAAAGCGAGCGCAGACGGUUAUUUAAGCAGGAUGUGAAAUCCCCGGGCUUAACCUGGGAACUGCGUUCUGAACUGGAUAGCUAGAGUGUGUCAGAGGGGGGUAGAAUUCCACGUGUAGCAUUGAGAUGCGGUAGAGAUGUGGAGGAAUACCGAUGGUGAGGCAGCCCCCUGGGGAUAACACUGUCGGUCAUGCUCAAAAGCGUGGUGUGGCAAUCAGUAUUGAUACCCUGGUAGUCCGAUGGGCGAUUCUGUGGUGAUAUCAGCUUAUUGAUUCUGUGACUCGAUGAAAAAUAACGAGAUCCAUCUUUUUCCUUAUGUGGGGGUGAAUUAGUAUCUGUUUGUGUGUUGUGUGUUUGUUGAUGUGGUGCGUGCGUUUUGUGUUGUGUGUUUAUGUUGCAUGUGACUUUUGUUGCUGUUUUGUGUCGUCCUGUGUAUGUAUGUGUGUGUCUGUUUCAUGAUGUUGUCCUGUGUGUGUGUGUGUGUUGUGUUUCCGCGUGUGCUUGCUGUUGAUUAUGUGCGAUUUGGUGUUGUGACUGCUGUGUGUGUCGUGAUGUAUUCUCUUGUCUUGAUCGAUGCCUGUGUAUGAAUGUCUGACUCUAUAGCUGUAUGUCGGCUCGUGUGUACUUCAUUG